ensembl:lncRNA
AGGCUUUCGGCUAAGCACUUACCUAAUAACACAGAUCUCCAGGUGAUGCCAUUGCACCACCAAGGUGGAGAACCAGUGCCAGUCGCGGCUUUAGUUCGAGAAGCUUCACUACCUCCUCAUGAGGAGGAAGCAAGUCAGUGUCACUGAACUGCGUUCUGUCGCCCUUCACCCCACAGGACUCGGUUCGAGAUAAGAAAAGCAACGUGAUAGCCUUGUCUUACAUCAAAAGGAGCGUAAGGUGAAGCGGAACCACUGGCACAGUAUUGCUGAUUACGCCUGACACAAAGUUCUU